GGUUCAGGAUGAACGCUAGCUACAGGCUUAACACAUGCAAGUCGAGGGGCAUCAUGAUCAAAGCUUGCUUGAUGAUGGCGACCGGCGCACGGGUGCGUAACGCGUAUCCAACCUGCCGUGUACUCCGGGAUAGCCCUCUGAAAGGAGGAUUAAUACCGGAUGUGGUCGAGUUGAGACAUCUCUUCUCGAUUAAAGAUUUAUCGGUACACCGAUGGGGAUGCGUACGAUUAGGUAGUCGGCGGGGUAACGGCCCACCGAGCCUGCGAUCGUUAGGGGUUCUGAGAGGAAGGUCCCCCACAUAGGAACUGAGACACGGUCCUAACUCCUACGGGAGGCAGCAGUGAGGAAUAUUGGUCAAUGGGCGAGAGCCUGAACCAGCCAAGUAGCGUGAAGGAUGAACCUGCCCUACGGGUUGUAAACUUCUUUUAUGCGGGAAUAACCGCCACUACGCGUAGUGGCCUGCAUGUACCGCAUGAAUAAGCAUCGGCUAAUUCCGUGCCAGCAGCAGC
rnacentral:rRNA from 1 species